rfam:Fukomys damarensis contig90624, whole genome shotgun sequence.
CCAAAGGCUCUUUUAAGAGCCACCGAAACAAUUUUCAAAGUGGUGU